rnacentral:rRNA from 1 species
GACGAACGCUGGCGGCGUGGAUUAGGCAUGCAAGUCGGACGGUAGGGCUUUAUCGUAAGAUAGAGUUUGAGAGUGGCGAACGGGUGAGUAACACGUAGGAAUCUACCCUUAAGACGGGGACAACCCAGGGAAACUUGGGCUAAUACCGGAUGAGAGUGCGAGAGAUUGCAUUUAAAAGGAUGGCGAAAGUUGUCGCUUAGGGAUGAGCCUGCGGUCUAUUAGUUAGUUGGUGAGGUAAGAGCUCACCAAGGCGAUGAUGGGUAGCCGGCCUGAGAGGGUGUACGGCCACACUGGGACUGAGAUACGGCCCAGACUCCUACGGGAGGCAGCAGCUAAGAAUAUUCCGCAAUGGACGAAAGUCUGACGGAGCGACGCCGCGUGGAUGAAGAAGGCCGAAAGGUUGUAAAGUUCUUUUGCUAGGGGAGAAUAAGUGAGGGAGGGAAUGCCCUCAUGAUGACAAGGACUAGCGAAUAAGCCCCGGCCAACUACGUGCCCAGCAGCCGCGGUAAG